rnacentral:rRNA from 1 species
UACGUAGGGUGCAAGCGUUGUCCGGAAUUAUUGGGCGUAAAGAGCUCGUAGGCGGUUCGUCGCGUCGGCUGUGAAAACCCGGAGCUCAACUCCGGGCCUGCAGUCGAUACGGGCGGACUGGAGUGUUGCAGGGGAGACUGGAAUUCCUGGUGUAGCGGUGAAAUGCGCAGAUAUCAGGAGGAACACCGGUGGCGAAGGCGGGUCUCUGGGCAACUACUGACGCUGAGGGGCGAAAGCGUGGGGAGCGAACAGG